UAUGAGCUCCAUACAGCAUGUCCACGUAGGACAAUUAAAUUAACCAAUAGGAGAUUAUAUAUUCGCCACGUCAGACGUUAUUUGAGACAGAAUCUACCGGGUCAAAGCAAUUGGGCUUAUAACAAUUAUAACUGGCCCAUUACACGGUGCUCUCUUCGCGAACGGGAUCAUCACCUCCGAUCUCCUCUUCGAUUUGCUCUUCGUCGAGUCUCUCACCCUCUUCGUCCCCACCGACUCCAUGCUCUUCGAUCUCGACAUGACUCACUCUUCCUACUUCUACGUUUCCACCCUCCACCUCCACUGCAUCCCCCUCCGCCUCCCGUUCUCCGAUCUCCGAUCUCUCCCGAACGCCACCUCUCUCCCGACGCUUCUUCCCUCUCACCACAUCUGACUCACUAGACCUUCUUCUUCCUCCUCCAACGAUUCCAUUUCUCUCGACGGUGUUCCCGUUCUCCUCCCUGGUUUGUUCUCCUCCAACAAGGUAUCGACUGUUUAGCUUCCUUCUUUAUUUAGUUUUAGAUAAUUUUGGUUGUGGAGAUGAUGGAGCCGACUGUUAUUUUGUAUCACUCUUGAAGACAAGGAGGGCAUAAGCAAUCGUAUGGCAUAACUCAUGGGGUCUCAAUACCAGAUUAGAAAUUGUUUAAUCUUAAUGUGAUUUAUUUUGUUUUGACGUUUUUGGUAAUGUUAUUUCCUCUAAUAUCAAAAUUGAGUUCAUGGAACAUAGAUUAGAGUUAUGUUUAUGAGUCAUGGAGAAGACAAAGACUUAGCAUUUCCUCCAAAAGUUGCAAAUCAAGUAGUUGAUCCCAAUUUCCUUUAAAGAUAUUGUCUCAGAAGCAUUUUUGAUGUGUGUGAAACUAUUGAAUCCACCUUGCUUGGGACUUGAAACCGUGCUAAAAUAGGGUUUUACGACAACUUUUAUUGCCAUUGGAAGUAUUCAGAUCGGGGAAUUAGAAGGUGUUCCAAUGGGAGUUGAAAAUGGUCCAAGGGAUUUGGCUAAAAAUUAGGCCAGCCGUGUCUCAUAGUAUGUGUGUAGGCUAACAGUUUCUUAGAUUCUUGGGAGCAGCUGAGAUGGAUUUCAUGAGAGAAGACUUCACUAAAAGAAAAAGGUCGAAGAAACCACUCAAAGCUUCUUGACGAGGAAGAAACUAUUCAAGAGUGCUAAGGAAGAGCCGACUCAUACAUUUAUAUUUGUUCUGAUUUUUUUCUCGAUACAUCAUUCACAUUUCUUAGAAAAAGUUUCUGACUGGACUUUGGAGUAUUGAUGUUUUUAGUCUUAUGUGAUAAAUCUCGAAUGUAGAAACUAUUGUGGUGCCAAACUAUUGUUGAAGAACCUCGGGAUGAUGCUGAUACCAAACGUACUUCAAUUAAUAUAUAGUAUUCUGAA